rnacentral:sRNA from 1 species
GCCAGGCAUGGUGGUGCACGCCUGUAAUCCCAGCAAUUUGGGAGGCUGAGACGGGAGAAUUGAAAGUUUGAGGCCAGCCUCAGCAAUUCAGUGAGGCCUUCAGCAACAUAGUAAGAUCCUGUCUCAA